GAAGGUAUAGCUCAGUGGUAGAGCACGUGCUUAGCAUGCACAAGGUCUAGGGUUCAAUCCCCAGUACCUCCA
rnacentral:tRNA from 1 species